AAUAGAUACCCCGGUAGUCCACGCCGUAAACGAUGAGUGCUAAGUGUUAGGGGGGUUUCCGCCCCUUAGUGCUGCAGCUAACGCAUUAAGCACUCCGCCUGGGGAGUACGGCCGCAAGGCUGAAACUCAAAGGAAUUGACGGGGGCCCGCACAAGCGGUGGAGCAUGUGGUUUAAUUCGAAGCAACGCGAAGAACCUUACCAGGCCUUGACAUCCUCUGACAACCCUAGAGAUAGGGCGUUCCCCUUCGGGGGACAGAGUGACAGGUGGUGCAUGGUUGUCGUCAGCUCGUGUCGUGAGAUGUUGGGUUAAGUCCCGCAACGAGCGCAACCCUUGAUCUUAGUUGCCAGCAUUUAGUUGGGCACUCUAAGGUGACUGCCGGUGACAAACCGGAGGAAGGUGGGGAUGACGUCAAAUCAUCAUGCCCCUUAUGACCUGGGCUACACACGUGCUACAAUGGAUGGUACAAAGGGCUGCCAAACCGCGAGGUUGAGCGAAUCCCAUAAAACCAUUCUCAGUUCGGAUUGCAGGCUGCAACUCG
rnacentral:rRNA from 1 species